rnacentral:rRNA from 1 species
UAGUAUGGGGAUCUGCCCGAUAGAGGGGGAUAACUACUGGAAACGGUGGCUAAUACCGCAUGAUGUCUACGGACCAAAGCAGGGGCUCUUCGGACCUUGCACUAUCGGAUGAACCCAUAUGGGAUUAGCUAGUAGGUGGGGUAAAGGCUCACCUAGGCGACGAUCUCUAGCUGGUCUGAGAGGAUGAUCAGCCACACUGGGACUGAGACACGGCCCAG